UAAAUACUAAAACACCGUAGGAAAACGAGAAUUGGCAAAAAGGAGAUGAUGCAGAAGGAGACCACAGGCAGAAUCCAGUUAGUGACAACCGUGUCUGGCUGACUGGCUGAGCAAAACGCUGUACCUGAAAGAAAAGGAACAGAGUGACAUCUCUGGAAUUAACCAAUGAGAGAAGUUGUCUUGUCCCAUUUUCUCCUCAACUGCUGGUUAAUUGACAAGCACAGUGAAGGUCUCUUUCUAUCAACUUCCUACACUGACAUCCAGUCUAUCUUCCACUGACCCCUCUUUUAGCAUCGAGUAGGAGACCAACAUAAAAACAGCAACAACAU